rnacentral:lncRNA from 1 species
CAAGGAGCAGUUGAUGUAGACAUUGGUGCAAAUCCCUCUGCUGAAGGUGGUGGGGAAGAUGAGGGUGUUGAUGAUCAAACCGUGAAGGUGGUUGACAUCGUUGACACAUUUAGGCUUCAGGUAUGUAGUGCCCGCUGUUCUGUUGGCCCCGAAACUUUGUCUCGGAUUAGGAAUUUUAUUGUUAUUGCCUGAUGCUUGCAGGAGCAACCUCCUUUCGACAAGAAGCAGUUUGUCACAUGGGUGAAGAGGUACAUCAAACUGUUGACACCCAAGCUGGAGGGGGAGAAACAAGAGGAAUUCAAGAAGAACAUUGAGGGAGCAACCAAGUUUCUGCUUUCGAAGCUCAGUGACCUCCAAUUGUAAGUUUUGUUGGUCCCUUUAGUGAUUUACCAUGUUAGUCAUCCCGUCGGUAGAAUACUUUGGCACUUGCUAUCAUUGUGGAAUUUUUACUCGAAAAAAGAUACAAGCAUUGAAUCACAUGUUCUUUUGCAGCUUUGUUGGGGAGAGCAUGCAUGAUGAUGGCGGUUUGGUGUUUGCCUACUACAAGGAGGGUGCCACUGACCCAACAUUUAUCUACUUUGCGCAUGGUUUGAGGGAGGUCAAGUGCUAAGUAUUGGCACAGCUGGCUUCAAGCAGAAUGCUUGUUGUAAUCCUAGUCUAUAUUGUUGCUUUUUUUUUUUUCUUCUCUAAAUUGGGGAAUCAGGAGUCUAUUUUUGCUUGUUUUCUUUAGAAUGUUUUGCAUUUGGUGACUUGAGGCUUUAUGCCACCUUCUAUCUCGGUUUUUAAUGGUAUUUUCGAAUUUCGACUUGGAUUUCUAAUUUAUUUGGCUCUAUGUUUUGAUUGAGAAAUAAGAAUAAUAUUGUAUUCUAGAUUUUAGCAGCUCCAAAUCUUCAUUCUUAUCUAUGCAUGCAUUUGUAUGUUAUAUCAUCUAUAUGUUAUAUAAUUCAUAAAUCUACAGGCUGUUUUUGGGUUUGUUUAUAGAAAUUAAAUAAUGUAGGGUUUAUCUAUAAUAUUAGUGUUAAAAAUAGAUAUAUGAUUAAAUAUCACUAAAAAAAAUUAUGGGCUGUUUUUGGGUUUGUUUAUAAAAAUUAAAUGGUGUAGGGUUUAUAUAUAAUAUUAAUGUUAAAAAUGGGUAUAUGAUUAAAUAUCAUUAAAAAAAUUAUGGGUUAUUUUUGGGUUUGUUUUUAGAAAUUAAAUGGUGUAGGAUUUAUAUAUAAUAUUAAUGUUAAAAAUGGAUAUAUGAUUAAAUAUCACUAAAAAAAAUCAUGGUUCAUUCAUUACUGUGACAAAUGCAAAUGGGUCUGCAGUACGAUGUAGACGGUGGAACUGUAGAAGCUUGUGCACCUGUACAGAGCUUUGGUACUUGACCUUGGCUAGUUGAAUUAUCAGUUUAACAACUUUGUAACAAACUCUCUUGUAGUUCAAGUGAUUAAGAAAUAAGUUUUAGUUCAAGUGAUUAAGAAAUAAGUUUUAGUUCAACCGAAAAAAGAAAUGGGUUUGCGACUUAAGCGGUUAAGAGGGAUAUCGAUCAAUUUUUCAGAAUUGUUAGAUAAUUAUUGUGAAGUUAAAGGAGGUAUGAUGUUAUUUUUGCCAAGAGUAAGAUGAUUGGGGAAGAAAGUCACAUUAUACAAUCCACUAGAUGGCUACGAAGUGCAAUUCAUUCAUUCCAUUACCCUGAAAUUUAUUUUUUGUUUUGUUUUGUCAAAUAAAUAACAACUUGCUCAAACAAAGAAAAAAUUCCGAAAUGAUAUUGGCCCUCUCAUUGACCCCCAAUGCAUAAAAUUUUAUUGAGACACUUGAUGAAAGGCUCAGGGCUUUGUGGGUUGCUUCACAAUCAUGACGGAGCAUUUAACAUGAUGAGCACAGUAGUCGCUUACACUUCCAAGAACUGCCCUGCAAGAGAUUCGAAUUUUGUGUCACGUAUUAGAAGAGCCUGAAGGAAGAAUAAAUAAAUAAAAAGAAUUUUGGAUUUGCAAAGUUCAAACAUGUACCUCUUUACAAUUCCAUAACCAUGACUUCCAACAACCAAAAGGGAGGCCUGAUGUUUAUCAACAGCGUCACACAUAACAUUUCUGGGAUCACCUUCCAUUACUUCCACUUCUACAUUUUCCACCUGCACUGUUGCUAAUUAACCGUAUUCGCUUGAUAAAUCACAUUAAUUAGCUGACCACAUAAUAUGCAGAAUGAUGCGUGAAUUAUCAAAAAAAUGGCAGAAUUUUGGAAAAAUAGCCUAGUGAGUGUUCAUAAUAACGUUGCAGACAUCACUUAAAGGAUUUUGUACUUACCUUUUUGCUGGUGCAAACAUCCUUAGCUUUCUGCACGGUCUUACCAGUGGAUUUCUUCAUAUCCGCCUCCAAAGAAGUCAUAAAGUCCACAGAACCUGCAUUUUACAAUAACAUGAAUUAACCAUGCAAUUAAUGAAUUAAUGAAGCAGAUAAUGAGAUUGGUUUAGUUAAUUACCAAAUCCGGCGACGCCGAGGGCAGAAGAGGCAGAACUCCUAGCAUGAAUGACGAUGAGCUUGAAAGGGUGGUUGGUGCCGUGAGCAAAGAAAUGGUCCAACGUCCACUCCAAUGCAUAAAAGCUAUGCUCACUGUCGUCCACUGCAACUAGCAUCAGCGGCUUCCCCUUGUUCUCACUACCUUCCGCCAUUAUCUUAAUUAAUCGCUAAUUAAUCCAAGUUAAUCACUAAUUAUCAACAAAAACAGCAAGAAGAUCCAAAUUAAUUAGUUCAGUGUGGGAUUAAUUUAGUUGGACAGUGUGCUUGUGGGUGGUAACGGCUGUAUAGGAUAGGAUAGUAGCUGGCUGUUGCUGAAUAUGGCGAUGCUAUGUGUAUACAUAUAUAUGCCUAAAUUGUUGGUAACUGUAUCGAGGUCGUUACGCCCCUCGACUCGGUUUCUUAACCGUCUGUGAAUCAAUGGCCUUGAGAUGGCGGGAGUUUCUGUGAGGUCCAAUUCAUGGCUCAUAUCAAAGCGGAGUGCUGGGCCAAGUAUGAUCCCUCUUUAGGAGCCUCCAAAAGCUAAGACAUCUCAUAUUCUGUUUCAAAUAGGUCGAAUCCAACUGAAUCAAACAAAAUAAAUUAGUUACAAUUUGGUCUGAUUUUUACACUAUUGAGUGUACAAAUUGGAUUAACACACUCAGAGUAGUUUAAUUUGACCGAUUUGAAAAUAACACGAAUUGGAUUACGUCUAAUUUGACUAGAGUUAAAUGUAGUGAAAUUAUGAAUCCCGCUAAAAGGUUGAGAUUAUGGCAAGAGUCUACAGGAGCCCUUCAUUACCAGACGAAAGGAUGGUGGGAGCCAAAUUGGGUCUAGAAACGUUUAAAAACUUUAAUUCAAAUUAGAAUCCUGAGCUAAGCAUCGGUCUCAACCCUCACAUGCUUUAAGUUAAAGCAAGGCUUUUCCCAAAAUAAGUGUACCGCACGGAUGACAGGGUAGGGAACCGAACAGAAAAGUGGGGUUUUUAUUUAUUUAUUUAUACUUUUUUAUAAUAUAAAAAAAUUUAAAGUUGGGGUCCACUUGGAGAUCCACCAGCAUUUAUCAAUGUCGACCCAAUUACCAUAACAACAAACAAACCUUAUUUAAAAAAAACCUUGAAGCAAAAUAAAAUAAAAUAUUGACCUUAAGUAAAAUUAAAAUAAGAUUAUUAAAUGAUUUUAUGAUAAAGUAUAUUUAUGCAACCAAAAGUAUGUUUCAUGAUGCAUCCGUCCAUUUAUGUGGCCUCUUUCUCAAGUUUCGAUUAUGUUAUGUUAUUUUAGAUUUACAUUGCGUACAGAUUAAUCUUAUAUCGAUGUGAAUUAUUAAUUCUAUCUUAUUAAUAUGACUUAUAUAUAAAAAUUUACUCGAAAUAUCCAUAAUUAUUUAGUAGACAAUUAUCAAUACUUUUCCUCACCAAAAUUUACGUUGAAUUCGUAUAUUGUUUGUGUCUCUGAAAUAAUUGUCACCUUUGGAAAAUAGCAAAGGAAAUAUAUAAAAGCACAAAGUUAGAAAAGCGAGGUCUUUUAGGAAUUUACAAAAUUAAAGUCCUCCUAGAAAGGUACAGCAGCGCAUAAAUAAUCUUGCUGUCAUCAUUCUAUCACACUGUGUACGUUCCAUCACCAAAUGGCUGAAUCAAGUUUGGGAGGGUAUUAUUGACAAUAACAAAAAGCUUGAGGCAAGG